rnacentral:rRNA from 1 species
ACGAAGGGGGCUAGCGUUGUUCGGAAUUACUGGGCGUAAAGCGCGCGCAGGCGGUCUUCCAAGUCAGUGGUGAAAGCCCGGAGCUCAACUCCGGAACUGCCAUUGAAACUGUUGGACUUGAGUAUGAGAGAGGUGAGUGGAAUUCCCAGUGUAGAGGUGAAAUUCGUAGAUAUUGGGAAGAACACCGGUGGCGAAGGCGGCUCACUGGCUCAUUACUGACGCUCAGGCGCGACAGCGUGGGGAUCAAACAGGA